AUUGAUAUAAAGAAAAGUCACAAGACAAGUACAUUUGCAAACUUUGUUAAUUACGUAAAAAAGUAACCUAGCUAAAAGACAUAUUCAGCAAACUAAGCUACUUGACCCGACCUGUCUCUCGAACUAAAAGAUGAGGGGAAGACCAAAAGCAUUUCAAAAAGAGCAAUCCCUUUAGCAGCCUCUAGAACUUGAUUGGGCGUUUGUCGGGAAGGAAAUGCAUGAUGGUUUAUCACAAUAUCUGGAACGAUGCUUUGCAUGGUAAUCCCUCAUAGAUGCAUGUGUGGAACAUGCAAAAGCACAGCAAGUUUGACAACUUAUGAACUAUUUUCUGCCAAACUCUGAAUUGUAUGCACUGAAAUCGAAAUCACAGG
rnacentral:lncRNA from 1 species